UACACGUAAGGAGUCGUCGGCAGCGUCAGAUGUGUAUAAGAGACAGGUAUAAUGGGUCAGCGACUUACAUUCAGUAGCAAGCUUAACCGAUAGGGAAGGCGUAGCGAAAGCGAGUCCUAAUAGGGCGUCCUAGUUACUGGGUGUAGACCCGAAACCAAGUGAUCUAUCCAUGGCCAGGAUGAAGGUGCCGUAACAGGUACUGGAGGUCCGAACCCACAAAUGUUGAAAAAUUUGGGGAUGAGCUGUGGAUAGGGGUGAAAGGCUAAUCAAACUUGGAGAUAGCUGGUUCUCUCCGAAAACUAUUUAGGUAGUACCUCGUAUCUUACUCUCGGGGGUAGAGCACUGUUAUGGCUAGGGGGUCCUUAAGGACUUACCAAACCAUUGCAAACUCCGAAUACCGAGAAGUACAAUUACGGGAGACAGACAGCGGGUGCUAACGUCCGUUGUCGAGAGGGAAACAACCCAGACCGCCAGCUAAGGUCCCAAAUAUAUGCUAAGUGGUAAACGAAGUGAGAAGGCCCAGACAGCCAGGAGGUUGGCUUAGAAGCAGCCACCCUUUAAAGAAAGCGUAAUAGCUCACUGGUCGAGUCGUCUCGCGCGGAAGAUGUAACGGGGCUAAGCAUAUAACCGAAGCUGCGGAUGCAUAUUUAUAUGCAUGGUAGGAGAGCGUUCUGUAAGUCUGUGAAGGUGUUCUGUGAGGAAUGCUGGAGAUAUCAGAAGUGCGAAUGCUGACAUGAGUAGCGAUAAAGGGAGUGAAAGGCUCCCUCGCCGAAAGCCCAAGGUUUCCUGCGCAACGUUCAUCGGCGCAGGGUGAGUCGGCCCCUAAGGUGAGGCAGAAAUGCGUAGCCGAUGGGAAACAGGUUAAUAUUCCUGUACCUCAAUUUAAUGCGAUGUGGGGACGGAGAAGGUUAGGUCAGCCAGGUGUUGGAUAUCCUGGUUCAAGCAUGUAGAUAGAUUUCUUAGGUAAAUCCGGGAAGUCAAUAUCAAGAUGUGUUAACGAGUGAACUUUUGUUCAUGAAGUGAUUGAUACCACGCUUCCAAGAAAAGCCACUAAGCUUCAGUUAGAUUGAGACCGUACCGCAAACCAACACAGGUGGGCAGGAUGAGAAUUCUAAGGCGCUUGAGAGAACUCUGGAGAAGGAACUCGGCAAAUUUGUACCGUAACUUCGGGAUAAGGUACGCCCCAGUAGGUUGUAGCAUUUUACAUGCGAAGGCCGAUGGGGUUGCAGUGAAAUGGUGGCUGCGACUGUUUAUUAAAAACACAGCACUGUGCAAACACGAAAGUGGACGUAUACGGUGUGACGCCUGCCCGGUGCCGGAAGGUUAAUUGAUGGGGUUAGCGCUUGCGCGAAGCUCUUGAUCGAAGCCCCGGUAAACGGCGGCCGUAACUAUAACGGUCCUAAGGUAGCGAAAUUCCUUGUCGGGUAAGUUCCGACCUGCACGAAUGGCGUAACGAUGGGGGCGCUGUCUCUACCCGAGACUCAGUGAAAUUGAAAUCGCCGUGAAGAUGCGGUGUAUCCGCGGCUAGACGGAAAGACCCCGUGAACCUUUACUAUAGCUUCACAGUGAACUUUGAGCAUGUUUGUGUAGGAUAGCUGGGAGGCUUUGAAACCAGGACGCCAGUUCUGGUGGAGCCAACCUUGAAAUACCAGCCUGACCUGUUUGAGGUUCUAACUUCGACCCCUUAUCGGGGUUAAGGACACUGUGUGGUGGGUAGUUUGACUGGGGCGGUCUCCUCCCAAAGCGUAACGGAGGAGCACAAAGGUGGGCUAAGCAUGGUCGGACAUCAUGCGGUUAGUGUAAUGGCACAAGCCCGCUUAACUGCGAGACAGACACGUCGAGCAGGUACGAAAGUAGGUCAUAGUGAUCC
rnacentral:rRNA from 1 species